rnacentral:rRNA from 1 species
GUGCCUACGGGAGGCAGCAGUGGGGAAUAUUGCGCAAUGGGGGCAACCCUGACGCAGCAACGCCGCGUGAUUGAAGAAGGCCUUCGGGUUGUAAAUAUCUUUAAUCGGGGACGAAUUUUGACGGUACCCGAAGAAUAAGCUCCGGCUAACUACGUGCCAGCAGCCGCGGUAAUACGUAGGGAGCAAGCGUUAUCCGGAUUUACUGGGUGUAAAGGGCGUGUAGGCGGGCAUGCAAGCCAGAAGUGAAAUUUGGGGGCUUAACCCCCAAACUGCUUUUGGAACUUCGGGGCUUGGGUG